GGCUAAGGGAGAGGGAAGUUUGAGGACCUGGGUGAGAUGAAAAACACAAGAAGCACUAGGUGCUGGUUGGUGGUGGAGGAGCUGUACUGCUGCAGGACUGUUCCUUGAUGGAGGAUGCUGCAGAUCAGAGCUGAGUGGACCUUGUUGAGACUAAAACAUGACAAGGAGUGUUGUAGGGUGAGGACCAACGAUGUUACGGGUCAGCAGUGGUGAGACCAAUGAUGAUGCAGCAUGAUGGAAGCCUGCUGGAGAGUGCCUGAGCUUCUUGCUCCAAGACACCCACUGCGUCGGGGAGCUCCAUGAAGGAGGAACCGGUCCUGGUCCUAAACAGUUCCUCGAUUUUGUGGAUGAAAUCAUA